UACGGAGGGGGCUAGCGUUGUUCGGAAUUACUGGGCGUAAAGCGCGCGUAGGCGGCUUUGUAAGUUAGAGGUGAAAGCCCGGAGCUCAACUCCGGAAUUGCCUUUAAGACUGCAUCGCUAGAAUCAUGGAGAGGUGGGUGGAAUUCCUAGUGUAGAGGUGAAAUUCGUAGAUAUUAGGAAGAACACCGGUGGCGAAGGCGGCCCACUGGUCCGGUACUGACGCUGAGGUGCGAAAGCGUGGGGAGCAAACAGG
rnacentral:rRNA from 1 species